rnacentral:rRNA from 1 species
AGGACGAACGCUGGCGGCGUGCUUAACACAUGCAAGUCGAGCGGAAAGGCCCUUCGGGGUACUCGAGCGGCGAACGGGUGAGUAACACGUGAGUAAUCUGCCCAUCGCUUCAGGAUAGCCAUCGGAAACGGUGAUUAAUACUGGAUAUGACAUUCCUUCGCAUGUUGGGGUGUGGAAAGUUUUUUUCGGCGGUGGAUGUGCUCGCGGCCUAUCAGCUUGUUGGUGGGGUAAUGGACCUACCGAAGGCUUUGGACGGGUA